rnacentral:rRNA from 1 species
UACGUAGGGUGCAGGCGUUAAUCGGAAUUACUGGGCGUAAAGCGUGCGCAGGCGGUUUUGUAAGUCUGUCGUGAAAGCCCCGGGCUCAACCUGGGAAUUGCGAUGGAGACUGCAAGGCUUGAAUCUGGCAGAGGGGGGUAGAAUUCCACGUGUAGCAGUGAAAUGCGUAGAGAUGUGGAGGAACACCGAUGGCGGAAGGCAGCCCCCUGGGUCAAGAUUGACGCUCAUGCACGAAGCGUGGGGAGCAAACAGG